rnacentral:lncRNA from 1 species
UAGUCCUGUAUCCUUGCAUUUUUUGACAGUAAAAGGAGUUUGAAAGGAGGCAGCUUCCUCUUGCUACUAUUGUUUGUCACUCCUAGCAUACUUCUGAAGCAGUAUUACUGAAGAACCCCCCACCGUGCUUGGAGAGAGGAAAAGGUGGGGAAAGGGAAGUAAAAGGGGCAGAGAAGUGAGUAUGACCCUUCUUGUGGGAAUGGUUAACAUGGUCAAGAAAGCAGAGGACCACAUCCUUCCAUGCCUGUGAAAGGAAGACCUGGGACGUGUUCUUUCCUCAUUAUGGGCUACCCUGCAUUUUCGUACAGGAUUUAUUCAGAAGAAUAAAUCUACUCGUGGAAUUGCAGGCAGGCAUCGGGAAGAGCAAUUUCAAGGGCCUUCAAACCAGCCCUGUAAUAGGCAGUGACCUACUUAGGCUUCAGGUGAUCUCAGGAAGAUUUGAAGUCUCGAGAUGACUCCAUGGCUGGGGGCUGACAUCCUCUAAAGGCAUCUUCACUCUCUUGUUGGGGAAUCGUUUGGAAAG